UACAGAGGUCUCAAGCGUUGUUCGGAUUCAUUGGGCGUAAAGGGCGCGUAGGCGGCCUGCUAAGUCGAACGUGAAAUCCCCGGGCUCAACCCGGGAACUGCGUCCGAUACUGGCAGGCUUGAAUCCGGGAGAGGGAUGUGGAAUUCCAGGUGUAGCGGUGAAAUGCGUAGAUAUCUGGAGGAACACCGGUGGCGAAGGCGGCAUCCUGGACCGGUAUUGACGCUGAUGCGCGAAAGCCAGGGGAGCAAACGGG
rnacentral:rRNA from 1 species